rnacentral:tRNA from 1 species
CAGGCAGCAGUUCAAUGGUGGAGCUCCCGCUUCGUAUGCGGGAAGACCUGGGUUGGAUUCCCGGCUGCUUCC